rnacentral:rRNA from 1 species
UACGGGGGGAGCAAGCGUUGUUCGGAUUUACUGGGCGUAAAGGGCGCGUAGGCGGCCACGACAAGUCAGUUGUGAAAUCUCUGGGCUUAACUCAGAACGGUCAACUGAUACUGUCGGGCUAGAGUGCAGAAGGGGCAACUGGAAUUCUCGGUGUAGCGGUGAAAUGCGUAGAUAUCCGGAAGAACACCGGUGGCGAAGGCGGCCUGCUGGGCAGUUGCUGACACUGAGGCGCGACGAGCGUGGGGAGCAAACAGG